rnacentral:rRNA from 1 species
ACGCUUCUUUCCUCCCGAGUGCUUGCACUCAAUUGGAAAGAGGAGUGGCGGACGGGUGAGUAACACGUGGGUAACCUACCCAUCAGAGGGGGAUAACACUUGGAAACAGGUGCUAAUACCGCAUAACAGUUUAUGCCGCAUGGCAUAAGAGUGAAAGGCGCUUUCGGGUGUCGCUGAUGGAUGGACCCGCGGUGCAUUAGCUAGUUGGUGAGGUAACGGCUCACCAAGGCCACGAUGCAUAGCCGACCUGAGAGGGUGAUCGGCCACACUGGGACUGAGACACGGCCCAGACUCCUACGGGAGGCAGCAGUAGGGAAUCUUCGGCAAUGGACGAAAGUCUGACCGAGCAACGCCGCGUGAGUGAAGAAGGUUUUCGGAUCGUAAAACUCUGUUGUUAGAGAAGAACAAGGACGUUAGUAACUGAACGUCCCCUGACGGUAUCUAACCAGAAAGCCACGGCUAACUACGUGCCAGCAGCCGCGGUAAUACGUAGGUGGCAAGCGUUGUCCGGAUUUAUUGGGCGUAAAGCGAGCGCAGGCGGUUUCUUAAGUCUGAUGUGAAAGCCCCCGGCUCAACCGGGGAGGGUCAUUGGAAACUGGGAGACUUGAGUGCAGAAGAGGAGAGUGGAAUUCCAUGUGUAGCGGUGAAAUGCGUAGAUAUAUGGAGGAACACCAGUGGCGAAGGCGGCUCUCUGGUCUGU